UGUAUUGGACAUGUAUUUACAAUAGACAAAGAUUAAAAUACAAAUUUCAAACUCAAUCAGGACUUCUCACCACAUCAGAAAUAAGGCAAGGAGACACACUGGGUUUUUCUGGCCCUUUAUGUUUGUUGAAAACUUAGUACCUUCACAGUAAAAUCAUAAAUCAGACAUACUGCUAACAAAGUGUGUGUGUACAAAGAUAAUUUAACAUGACCCAAGCUGUUCCAGAUAUUCUCAGUUACAGAUUUUGAUGUGGCCACUGCAUUGUUUGAUUUAUACCAGCAGCAUCAGAAUUUACAAGUAACUCUGCCAAAGUGGCUUGUUGGGGACCCAAAUCAGAGUUCAAUGUUGCUACAUUGUUAUGGAGCAGAAAGUCCAUGUGGACCCUAUCAACAAUACCUUGAGGUUGAAAACUGGGUUUUGGGGGCACCAAUUAGUUCUUGAACAAAGGAUACAGAAGGAGUGAA